rnacentral:lncRNA from 10 species
ACCCUGACACCUUCAGUAGUGAACAAGACAGAACAACUUCUUAAAGAUGCAUCUGAGCACACAGGUGUGAAACUCAGUGUCCGAACCUGGGGCUGUGCUUUCUUAUACUCUAGAAUACAUGAAGACAAAAGGAGGCUCUAAUGAAGAAGUUGUUCAAGAUGGAGUCAGAAUGUUCAUCGAAAAGAAGAAAAGAAGGCACAGCUAACACUUUUAGGAACAGAAAUGGACCAUGUUGAAGACAAAUCAUCCAGCGAGUUUGUGUUCAGUAACCCAAACAUCAGAGGAACUUAUGGCCAUGGAGAAAGCUGUAAUAUU